UACAGAGGGCGCAAGCGUUGUUCGGAUUUAUUGGGCGUAAAGGGCGCGUAGGCGGGCGAGUCAGUCUGAUGUGAAAUCUUCACCGCUCAACGGGAAGAAGCCAUUAGAUACUACUUGUCUUGAGGCCAUUAGAGGUGGACGGAAUUCCUGGUGUAGCGGUGGAAUGCGUAGAUAUCAGGAAGAACACCGAUUGCGAAGGCGGUUCACUGGGAUGGCCCUGACGCUGAGGCGCGAAAGCCAGGGGA
rnacentral:rRNA from 1 species